rnacentral:ncRNA from 18 species
CGAUCAGUCCACCAAAGAGGUGCCUGCCUUUGGACAGGGUAAAAGGGAAUUGGGUGAAAAUCCCAAACGGGCCCGCCGCUGUAAUGGAAGAGCCGCAUGCAAAUAUAUGGUCACUGGUAAACACACACCGGGAAGGCCGCAUGUGACGUUGAUUCCAGAGUCAGAAAACCUGCCUUUUUGGUCAAUAUACAC